CAGAUACUGCCAUUUUCCGAAGGCGGCGUGUAGAGGUGGAUUCUGUCACACGUCAUCUGCUGGCUUAAGGAUAAGAUAAGAGCAGCAAAGUACACUGGAAGAAAUGGAAUUAAUAGUUUCAGGUAAGAUGACAAUUCACCAGUUCACACAAGGAGGAGGAGUACAGAAGACAGUAGGAAGAAAGAGUAAAAAAUCAGGUACAGCAUCACGAUCAGUUCCACAGAAUGCAAUUAUUUUACCUUGGCACUGGAGGAAGGGCACGGGGCGGGCACUGAAAGACAAGAGAGAGACAAAAGUCAACUUCUGCCAGUAUGAAACCACCUCUCAGAAAACAGCUUCAGAUCAGAACAUCCAAGGCAGCAAGACAGCUACAAAUAGGAGGUGGAGAGAGUGAGGAACUAACUUAGUUGCCACAAGCAUCGCAUCCUUUGAUGAGGAGACCGUGCUACCACAGACCAACAAGAGCAAGGUUUUCUGAUUAUCUUCCUCUUUGGAGUGGUACAACCAUGAAAAUGGCACAGAGACUUGGUAUGAUUACACACAUCAAUACCUCACUGGCUGGCACUUAACAGUCAAGAACCCUGAAAAAUUGUGCACAAAAUGACAAAACAGGGACACUUCAAAAGAUUUCUUCAUGAGAAUUUUGACAACAGUAAUGACACUGCCCUUUUCGUGCAAGGGAAUGUGCUGCAUUUUGUACUACUGCAAUUUGGGAUAUCCAGGUAUUGGUGCCAAGAACACAUAAUGAAAACUGGAUUUCUUCAUCAACUCAGUCUAAAACGGCAAAUUCAUCUGAAAAUCUAUGAAGUCAGAAUGAAAGUCACUGCAAUGCAUUACUGUUUACAAUGCUGUCCCAUGUGCACAUCAUCUUGCUCUACAAUGGAAGAUUAACUGUAGAAGCUAAGGUAUUUUCUUACUUCAAAUAUCUUAGUUCAAGUUCAGUUUUAUGUAUCACUUUGUUUAAAUUCCACGUACCACUUCUGUCUGCCAGCCCACCGUGGAUCACACGGGCAACUGUUAUGUCACCGGUUAUCUCAUGGCGUUUAAUGGUGGCACCCUGGCAGGUAAGAACAAAGAAAAAACACAUUGAUCACCAAAGGACCCCAGUAAGUUUCCUUCCAUAUCACAAGUCUGAUCUUCAGGCUGACUCAAAGACAUUGAGGGAUACAGCCUUUUUACCACAACAUGGAUAUAGUGAUAACCACAGAAUUGUGGAAUAAGCUGAGUUGGAAGGGACCACAAUGAUUACUGAGUCCCACUCCUGGCCCUGCACAGCACCAUCCCCAAGAGUCACACCCUGUGCCUGAGAGCAUUGUCCAAAUGCUUCCUAAGCUCUGUCAGACUUGGUGCUGGGACCACUUCUCUGGGGAGCCCAUUCCAGUGCCCAAGCACAUUCUGGGUGAAGAAUCUUUUUCUAAUAUCCAAUCUAAAACCUCCCCUGACCCAACUUCAGGCCAUUCACUCUGGUCCUGUCACUGGUCACCAGCAAGAAGAGAUCAGUGCCUGCCCCUCCUCUUCCCCUUACAAGGAAGUUGUGACUGCAGUGAGGUCUCCUCCAGGCUGAACAGACCAAGUGACCUCAGCCACUGCUCACAUGGCUUCUCCUCAAGGCCCUUCACUAUAUUCAUGGCCCUCCUUUGGACACUCUGUAAUAGUUUCAUGUCUUUCCUAUAUCGUGGCACCCAAAACUGCCCCCAGCACUCGAGGUGAAGCUGCCCCAGUGCAGAGCAGAGCAGAGCAGGACAAUCCCCUCCCUUGCCCAGCUGGAGAUGCUGUGCCUGAUGCCCCUGCAGGACACAUUUGGCCCUCCUGGCUGGAGGGCACUGCUGGUUCACAUCCAACUUGCCACUGACCUAUACCCCCAGGUCUACUGCUUUCUAGCGCCUCAUUCCCCAGUCUGUCCAUACAUCUAAGGCUGCCCCAUCCCAGGUGAAGAAUCCAGCACUUUCCCUUGUGGAACUUCACAUGGUUGGUGAUUGCCCAGCCCUCUCCUUUAUCGAGGUCUCUCUGCAGGGCCUCCUGGCUCUCAAGGGAGUCCACAGCUACUCCCAGUUUUGUAUCUUCUAGGAACUUGCUCAGUACCCUUUCCAGUCCUGUGUCUAGGUCCUUUAUGAAGCUGUUGAAGAGCACAGGGCUAAGGAUGAAGCCCUGCAGAACUAUAAGCCCAGUCACUAUAAGUCUUUUUGCCCAACCCAUAAGCCACUUGCUCACCCAUCCCAUAAUGUGUUUAUCCAGCUGUGUGCUGGACAUUUUGUCCAGAAGGAUACUCUGAGAGACAGUAUUGAAAGCUUUGCUGAAUUCCAGAAGGAUUACAUCAAUUGGUUUCCCCUGAUCAGCUAGCUGGGUUACCUUGUCAUAAAAAGAAAUCAGGUUUGAUAAACAGGACUUUCCCCUCACAAAGUGCUGGCUGUGACCAAUGACUGUGUUGUCCCUCAGGUGUUUUUCAAUACCUCCCAGAAAAAUCUUCUCCGAAACUUUACCAGGCACUGAAGUGAGACUGACAGGCCUGUAGUUUCCAGGGCCGUAAUGUAUUAGUACAAAGUCCUUCAAUGUCUUCAACUUCCAUCACACUAAAAUAACCUCUCUGACUGACAGUUAGAAAUCUUUUUCGUCCCUGAUAUUACAGCUGUCUUUCUCUAAAACAGAUUAGCUAAGCUAUGCAAUGUUUGCUGCUCAUAAGUACAAAUGAUUACUGAAGAACUCUCCUCACUUCCUUUCUGUUUUGGCCAUGGGAAUAACUCUCAAUCCAGUUUGUUUUUAUCUCAUAUAAUGAAAAUACAUCUGCCAAAUGUUCAAACCCUGAGCAGACAAGGCACCGAACAACCUACACCCACACCAUGCAUGGCUAGAUGGCCUUCUCAGAUCCUUUCCAAUCUCAACAAUUCUUGUGAUUCUGUAAAAUCUGGACAAGAAUGCACACAAUCCCCAUGACAUUCCUGGGAAGAAACCAAUAUGCAUCCAAUGCAUUAUUAAUUCUUUCUAAGUUAAAAAAAUUUGACAGACACAAGAAAGGUCCCUCACCAGAGGUUGGUUGUUUUUCACUAAGCAGACAAUCCUCAUAGCUUCUUCAUUUUCAGGUAUGUUGUCUGGCAGUGGUGGAAGGGUUGGUUCAAAAUCUUUCUGGGCCACGGUAUCAUGAGCAGAUAGCAAGGCCUGUUACAAAUGAAAACAAGGAAACCAACCAACCCAUAAGCAAAGAUCAAUAGCAGAGCUUUAAACAGUGACAGGUCAGAAACCAGAAAUCACUGCAUGUGUUCUUUCGUGAACACAGAUCCCUUGCAUAUAUUGACAUUUUCUUCUUUCCACCAAUAAAAGCAAACCAUGAAAGUUUUAAGAA